rnacentral:rRNA from 1 species
CCUACGGGAGGCAGCAGUGAGGGAUAUUGGUCAAUGGGGGAAACCCUGAACCAGCAACGCCGCGUGAGGGAAGACGGUUUUCGGAUUGUAAACCUCUGUCCUCUGUGAAGAUAAUGACGGUAGCAGAGGAGGAAGCUCCGGCUAACUACGUGCCAGCAGCCGCGGUAAUACGUAGGUGGCAAGCGUUGUCCGGAUUUACUGGGUGUAAAGGGCGUGCAGCCGGAGAGACAAGUCAGAUGUGAAAUCCACGGGCUCAACCCGUGAACUGCAUUUGAAACUGUUUCCCUUGAGUGUCGGAGAGGUAAUCGGAAUUCCUUGGGUAGCGGGGAAAUGCGUAGAUAUAAGGAAGAAAACCAGUGGCGAAGGCGGAUUACUGGACGGUAACUGACGGGGAGGCGCGAAAGCGUGGGGAGCAAACAGGAUUAGAUACCCCGGUAGUC